AUUGAACGCUGGCGGAAUGCUUUACACAUGCAAGUCGAACGGUAGAGGGGGCAACCCCUCGAGAGUGGCGAACGGGUGAGUAAUAUAUCGGAACGUGCCCAGUCGUGGGGGAUAACGUAGCGAAAGUUACGCUAAUACCGCAUACGAUCUAAGGAUGAAAGCGGGGGAUCGCAAGACCUCGCGCGAUUGGAGCGGCCGAUAUCAGAUUAGGUAGUUGGGGGGGUAAAGGCUCACCAAGCCAACGAUCUGUAGCUGGUCUGAGAGGACGACCAGCCACACUGGAACUGAGACACGGUCCAGACUCCUACGGGAGGCAGCAGUGGGGAAUUUUGGACAAUGGACGCAAGUCCGAUCCAGCCAUUCCGCGUGCAGGAUGAAGGCCCUCGGGUUGUAAACUGCUUUUGUACGGAACGAAAAGGUCUCUCUUAAUACGGGGGGCUCAUGACGGUACCGUAAGAAUAAGCACCGGCUAACUACGUGCCAGCCGCCGCAGUAA
rnacentral:rRNA from 1 species